UUUGCACUUGUCGGGGGAAGGGUGAGAACCUUCGAUUAAGGUUCGGCUCGAGCGAAAGCGAGAGAACGUUACCAACGGCAACGGCCCGUAAGUGAGCGAAGCGACGAAUAAUCCUCCCCACCACCA
rnacentral:sRNA from 1 species